UUCACCUUCCACUUCCGCCCAAUGCAUACCACAUACCACAUACCAGUCACCGCACCUCGACGGGGAAGGGCAAACCUCCACCCGCCUAAAGGUACAUGAAGGAUCCAUGACUGAAAUUGAUCAGACAGGCAGACCCAUGGGGUUACAGUCUUGCAAGCCUUGCAACUCCUGCCUGCAAAGUAAGGAGGAAUGCAGAGCGGCUGGUGGCUGCUCGUGUGUGUGUGACGACUGGAGAUAUUGCUCUGAACACUGCUGUGACAUCUGCUGCCAGAUGUGUGUGGACGUGUGCUCUGGCUUGUGUUCAGGAGACUGCAGCUACACCUUCUGUACCCUCUUCCUCAGCCUGGCACAGAACUGUGUCUCAUAUUUUACCACCCAACAAACUGAAACAUCAGGCACAACAUACACAACGGCAUGCCUAAUGAACACAGACUUGUGACCAAACUGAAAGUGUGAACUGAUUUAAAAAUACCAGCGGCUGUGGAGCCGAGCUAUCUGCUGCUGUCUAAUGAGGACGGAGAUAAGAAGCGCACACACUUUGACAACGGGUGUGAAAAGACCUGUCUGCAGAGCGGCAGUGUGUAUGAAUGCAUGUGGAUUUGUCAGUUCAAAGUUUAUGAAAUUUUUUGUGUGUAAAGACAAAUGUAUGAUUGUUAAUAGGCUAUUGUGGAAUGGAAUAUGUGACGAAUAAAGUUUGAGCAUGACAUGCUGACGGACUG